UCUCCUCUUUCCUCGGCUCUCUCCUCUAUCAUUUCACUCAAUCUCUCUCUUCUCCUCACUAAAUCUCCUCCAUUUUUAUCUCCUCUAUGUGGAUAUAUGAACAACGGAACAAGCACACGAUAGUGUCAUAACUUCUACGACUAAAGAUGCUUCGAUGGUGGUUCCGGGUCCUGUUGGUAAUUUACUCGCAAAGAUUCGGUAGAUUGAAGCUGGUUUGAUUGAAGAAGAAGAAGGUAUUAAUAAUCCAGGCGUUAUUGCAAAAUGUGCUGAGAUUCAGAAUGCUAUAAGCAUUGAAAAUUGUUGGAGGAUGAUUAUUUUGGGAGGACUAGAAGCUGCCGACAUGGGGUAAAUCAGCCCUUCAGUUCUAAUAUAAUGAACAUUAUGAAUACGCUUAUGAUAUAUCUUGUUGUGGUGCCUAAUUAAUAUACACUGGUAUACUAUCUCAGGCAGUGUUUUGUUUCUUACACCCUUUACGAGCAGGAACAAAAAUGAAACAUAAUGCUGGGCUUUUAGCUCAACUAUUGUCUUGCUCGAAUAAGUUCCAUGUUGUUGAUGUUGAAUGUUGUUCUAUUCUUAUUUUUUUGCAUGAGUUAGGCAAGGGUGGUACUUUCAUACUUGAAUGAUUGGCUGGUGGUAUUUGUUGGAAUUCAUGCUCCAAAAGAGAAGAUGUUCUGAUGUAGUGAUAUUUAAAGAUAUUUAAAUAAGUUCAUCAAUAAAAUUUAGAAGUUUUUAAGAUUUGUUUAGACUUGGAAAUUAACCAUGGGAACUAAGAAUAUUUCAUGGGCCAUAUGUAUUUGCAUUAGUAUAACAUAUCAAUUUGUACUCUGAUGCAUCUAUCAAACUGAAUGUUUAAUUUUACUGCAAAAACUUUGUUGGCCAUAGUUAUCGGGCAUUAAAUUUUGAAGUUGCAGAAAUCUUAAGCAGCAAAGAGAGAUUAUAUUUUAGUGAUAAGCUUGCUCCCUAAUAGGAGAAGUGCUCAGGUGAUUGCAUAUUUAGUACUCGAAGAAAAACCUUGGGAUUAUGUCGAGACUCCCUAGCUACUUGGUGUUGAAUGUCACUAGCUCAAUUCUGAUAUUUUAGAGAGACAAUCUGUACACUUGUUAACUAAGUAAUGCACAUUUCACACCUACAUCUUCUCUGUAUAGUCUUAAACAAGGCAAUCGACUCCUGGUAGCAGUGAGAAGAUUGAUAUGCUCUUGAUUGCUGCUGUUACUACUGGCCUGCUACUGUUUGUGCUCCAUUGUUUACUAAAUUUUGUAAUCAAUAGCGUUUUGGACUUCUCAAUAGGAGAGUUUAUAAUUAGCAUACAAAAUUGGAUUUGGUGUAUAUAUUAUGUUCGAUAAUAUGUUUGUGGCAUGAAAUAUUUGAAUUUGUUAUAAAUUAUUAUAAUAA